UCCGGUUUGUCACCGGCAGUCCCAUUAGAGUGCCCAACUGAAUGUAGCAACUAAUGGCAAGGGUUGCGCUCGUUGCGGGACUUAACCCAACAUCUCACGACACGAGCUGACGACAGCCAUGCAGCACCUGUGUUGCGGUUCCCUUUCGGGCACCGAGGUAUCUCUACCCCCUUCCGCACAUGUCAAGGGUAGGUAAGGUUUUUCGCGUUGCAUCGAAUUAAUCCACAUAAUCCACCGCUUGUGCGGGUCCCCGUCAAUUCCUUUGAGUUUUAGCCUUGCGGCCGUACUCCCCAGGCGGUCAACUUCACGCGUUAGCUUCGUUACCAAGGAAUUACUUCCCCGACAACCAGUUGACAUCGUUUAGGGCGUGGACUAC
rnacentral:misc_RNA from 1 species